UCGCCACUCCGCCCCCUGGUGAGGUUUUGCCCUUUAUUUUUUUCUUUUUUCUUGCUGUUUUAGUUGAUUUAGUUGCUUUAGGUUAUUUGAUUUAUGUUAGUUGAUUUAGUUGCUUUAGGUUAGUACAUUUAGUUGAUUUAGGUUAGUUGAUUUAGUUGCUUUAGGUUAGUUGAUUUAGGUUAGUUGAUUUAGGUUAGUUCAUUUAGUUGCUUUAGGUUAGUACAUUUAGUUGCUUUAGGUUAGUUGAUUUAGUUGCUUUAGGUUAGUUGAUUUAGUUGCUUUAGGUUAGUAGAUUUAAUUGCUUUAAUUAGGUUAGUUGAUUUAGGCCCCAUUUGAUAGCUCAGUUUUUUCUAAGUAUUUAUAGAAUACUACAGUUUUUGAGAUUACCAUGGUUUUAUUUACCGUGAGCCGUUUGUCUAUCACUAAAAACUGUGUUUUUAAUACUGUGGUAUUGGCAAACCAUAGUAUUUUCUCUGUAUUUAAAAAAGAACC
rnacentral:lncRNA from 1 species